UACGUAGGGUCCGAGCGUUGUCCGGAAUUACUGGGCGUAAAGAGCUCGUAGGUGGUUUGUCGCGUUGUUCGUGAAAACUCACAGCUUAACUGUGGGCGUGCGGGCGAUACGGGCAGACUGGAGUACUGCAGGGGAGACUGGAAUUCCUGGUGUAGCGGUGGAAUGCGCAGAUAUCAGGAGGAACACCGGUGGCGAAGGCGGUUCUCUGGGAAUAAUCCUGACGGCUGAGGAGCGAAAGUGUCGGGGAGCGAACAGG
rnacentral:rRNA from 1 species